GACGAACGCUGGCGGCGUGCCUCAUACAUGCAAGUAGAACGCAGUUGCGAACGGGUGAGUAACGCGUCGGUAACUGCCUGGUAGCGGGGGAUAACUAUUGGCAACGAUAGCUAAUACCGCAUACUACCAGAUGGACCUGCGAUGUAUUAGCUAGUUGGUGAGGUAACGGCUCACCAAGGCAACGAUACAUAGCCGACCUUAGAGGGGGGUCGUGCACACUGGGACUGAGAAACGGCCCAGACGCCGACGGGAGGUAGCAGUAGGGAAUCGUCGGGAAUGGGGGGAGACCUGACAGAGGCACGCCGCGAGAGUGAAGAAGGUUUUCGGAUCGUAAGGCGCUGUUGUUAAGGAAGCGGAACUUAACCAGAAAGGGACGGCUAACUACGUGCCAGAAGCCGCGGUAAUUC
rnacentral:rRNA from 1 species